rnacentral:rRNA from 1 species
AUUGAACGCUGGCGGCAGGCCUAACACAUGCAAGUCGAGCGGAUGACGGGAGCUUGCUCCUGGAUUCAGCGGCGGACGGGUGAGUAAUGCCUAGGAAUCUGCCUGGUAGUGGGGGACAACGUUUCGAAAGGAACGCUAAUACCGCAUACGUCCUACGGAAGAAAGCAGGGGACCUUCGGGCCUUGCGCUAUCAGAUGAGCCUAGGUCGGAUUAGCUUGUUGGUGAGGUAAUGGCUCACCAAGGCGACGAUCCGUAACUGGUCUGAGAGGAUGAUCAGUCACACUGGAACUGAGACACGGGCCAGACUCCUACGGGAGGCAGCAGUGGGGAAUAUUGGACAAUGGGCGAAAGCCUGAUCCAGCCAUGCCGCGUGUGUGAAGAAGGUCUUCGGAUUGUAAAGCACUUUAAGUUGGGAGGAAGGGUUGUAGAUUAAUACUCUGCAAUUUUGACGUUACCGACAGAAUAAGCACCGGCUAACUCUGUGCCAGCCGCCGCGGUAACAC